rnacentral:rRNA from 1 species
CUGCUGCCUCCCGUAGGAGUCUGGUCCGUGUCUCAGUACCAGUGUGGGGGACCCUCCUCUCAGAACCCCUAGACAUCGUCGCCUUGGUGGGCCGUUACCCCGCCAACUAGCUAAUGUCACGCAUGCCCAUCCGUCUCCGGAGUCGCCUCCUUUGGCCGAAAGAAGAUGCCUCCCCUCGGCCACAUGCGGUAUUAGGCCGGAUUUCUCCGGGUUAUCCCGCUGAAACGGGCAGGUUGCAUACGCGUUACUCACCCGUGCGCCGGUCGCCGG